rnacentral:lncRNA from 1 species
UUUGAAAGGAAUAUACAAGGUAUUACCUAUACGUUUCAUUAAAUAUAGGAUUAAAUUCAUACAGAUCCCUACAAAUAUAGUAAACGACAAAUGUAUCCCUACAAAUUAAGUUCAAUUUUUAUAUAUCGUUCCUCCAAAAGUUUUUAUGUUUUCAAAUAUGUUUCUGCCAAUAGAAUCCGUUAGAAAAUUUUAUAGGUUAAAUACUUAAUCCUGAUUAGUUUUUGACAUUUUUACCCCUCUUAUAUUAUACUUUAUGGCUUUUGGAGGGACAUAUUUGUGAUGACAAAAUUGAAGAUAUAAAUAAUUCUCUAACGGUUUUCUAACGGUAACAAAUCAGAGGGACAUAUUUGAAAACAUUAGAAUUUUUGUAGGAAUAAUAUAUGAAAGUUGAACUUUGUACGGAUAUAUUUGUCAUUCAAUAUAUUUGCAGGGAUCUAUAUGAAAUUAACCCUUAAAUGUAUUAGAAGUUACAUGUAAAAUAAGUAUAAAUUAUAAUUGCUGGGGUUGAG